rnacentral:rRNA from 1 species
GUCGGCUCAUCGCAUCCUGGGGCUGUAGUCGGUCCCAAGGGUUGGGCUGUUCGCCCAUUAAAGCGGUACGCGAGCUGGGUUCAGAACGUCGUGAGACAGUUCGGUCCCUAUCCGUCGUGGGCGUAGGAAAUUUGAGAGGAGCUGUCCUUAGUACGAGAGGACCGGGAUGGACAUACCUCUGGUGUACCAGUUGUCGUGCCAACGGCAUAGCUGGGUAGCUAUGUGUGGACGGGAUAAGUGCUGAAAGCAUCUAAGCAUGAAGCCCCCCUCAAGAUGAGAUUUCCCAACUUCGGUUAUAAGAUCCCUCAAAGAUGAUGAGGUUAAUAGGUUCGAGGUGGAAGCAUGGUGACAUGUGGAGCUGACGAAUACUAAUCGAUCGAAGACUUAAUCAA